rnacentral:sRNA from 2 species
ACCUACCACUGCUAAUCUAUGCCGCUGCCAACCUACCUACCACUGCUAAUCUAUGCCGCUGCCAACCUACCUAUCGCUGCUAAUCUAUUGCUGCUAAUCUAUCGCUGCUAAUCUAUUGCUGCUAAUCUAUUGCUGCUAAUCUAUCGCUGCUAAUCUAUUGCUGCUAAUCUAUCGCUGCUAAUCUAUUGCUGCUAAUCUAUCGCUGCUAAUCUAUUGCUGCUAAUCUAUCUAUCACUGCUAAUCUAUCGCUGCCAACCUACCUACCGCUGCCAACCUAUCUACCACUGCCAACCUACCUACCGCUGCCAACCUACCUACCACUGCUAAUCUAUCGCUGCCAACCUAUAUAGGGUAAAUCAUGGUCCCAUUUGGUCCCAUUUUGUAAAAUGGGACCAAAUGGGACUGGGACCACUAAUUUAUUAGUAAAACAUGAUCUGGGACU